UCCUCCAUCUUGGAUUUUACAAGUUUAAAAGUUGCGGCGGCGGGAGGCAAUUGGUGGAAUUUAUAAAGGACGGUCCAGUGUUUCCGAUGCUAAAGUAGAUAAGAUAGGAAGCAUUGAAGCUCCUUUCAUUAUCAUUUAGAGAAUUCAAUCAGCUCUCACCGGCCGCUCAGAUACUUCCGGGUCAGUUCAUUCACGAAGGAACCAUCAUUUGUUGCUCUUUUAAACAACAUUCCCAUGACGGACUUCAUGAACCCUGAAGGAUUUUUUCUGGGAUGCUGCGCUUCACCCUUUCAAUUCAUCAAGGCACUUUCUGAAGCCAGCUGAAACUAACAAGCAGUGGAGAAACUCUUCAUGACAAAAUGUCAUGUCAAAACCUGACCCCCAUUUAUCAGUACAAGAACAGCACUGUGACAAGCUCUGUAAUGUGUUGACUGUCUGAUAGCUAGGACUGUUGGAAGUGAUGCAAACGCUUCCCACAAGGCGCAUUGCUAUAGAGGAAACAGAAGCCGACUAUAGAAACAGAUUCA